AUUCACCCCAGGUAUGGAGGCUGUUGGAGAAGUGAUAGCUGUGGGCCCUGGACUUACUGGUAGGAACAUUGGAGAUAUUGUAGCCUAUGCUGGCAAUCCUAUGGGCUCAUAUGCUGAAGAGCAGAUCCUUCCUGCAAACAAGGUUGUGCCCGUUCCUUCCUCCAUCAGUCCUGUUAUUGCAGCAUCUGUUAUGCUUAAGGGAAUGACUACUCAGUUCCUAGUCCGCCGUUGCUUCAAGGUUGAACCUGAGCAUACCAUCCUUGUUCAUGCUGCAGCUGGUGGAGUUGGCUCUCUCUUAUGCCAGUGGGCAAAUGCCCUGGGUGCCACUGUCAUUGGAACCGUCUCAUCCAAGGAGAAGGCGGCACAAGCCAAGGAUGAUGGAUGUCACCAUGUAAUAAACUAUAAAGAAGAAGAUUUUGUUCUCCGUGUCAAUGAGAUCACAUCAGGCAGGGGUGUCAAUGUUGUCUAUGAUUCUGUGGGGAAAGACACCUUUCAGGGAUCACUGGCAUGCCUGAAGACUCGUGGGUACAUGGUGAGUUUUGGGCAGUCAUCAGGUACACCAGAUCCACUUCCAUUGUCAGCGCUUGCGCCAAAAGCACUGUUCUUGACAAGGCCUUCCCUCAUGCUCUACACUGAAACUCGAGAUGAGCUGCUGGAAACUGCUGGAGAGGUAUUUGCCAACAUUGCUUCAGGUGUAUUGCGAGUUCGAGUAAACCAUACAUACCCUUUGUCUGAGGCAGCACAAGCACAUGCGGACCUCGAGAGUCGGAAAACAUCUGGGUCAAUUGUAUUGAUACCAUGAAGCAAAUGUUUAGUUGCCAGCUAUGCUCAACUCUUCAUUGAGGAAUCUACUCUUGGUGAUUUGCACUUUAUUAGUGCCAGGUUGUGUAAGAUAAAUAAUGUGUGUUAUGGCAGUUGGAAAAAGAAAUCAAAACAUGCAAGGAUAAUUUU
rnacentral:misc_RNA from 1 species